UGCGAGUCACGUAGCAAUACGUGGCAUACGGCUCAGUAACACGUAGUCAACAUGCCCAGGGGACGUGGAUAACCUCGGGAAACUGAGGAUAAACCACGAUAGGUCAUAAUAUCUGGAAUGAUUUAUGGCUAAAACCUACAUGGCCCCUGGAUUGGACUGCGGCCGAUCAGGCUGUUGGUGAGGUAAUGGCCCACCAAACCUAAAACCGGUACGGGCUCUGAGAGGAGAAGCCCGGAGAUGGGCACUGAGACAAGGGCCCAGGCCCUAUGGGGCGCAGCAGGCGCGAAAACUCUGCAAUAAGCGAAAGCUUGACAGGGUUAUUCUGAGUGAUUUCCGCUAAGGAAAUCUUUUGGCACCUCUAAAAAUGGUGCAGAAUAAGGGGUGGGCAAGCCUGGUGUCAGCCGCCGCGGUAAUACCAGCACCCCGAGUGGUCGGGACGAUUAUUGGGCCUAAAGCAUCCGUAGCCGGUUCUACAAGUCUUCCGUUAAAUCCAUCUGCUUAACAGAUGGGCUGCGGAGGAUACUAUGGAGCUAGGAGGCGGGAGAGGCAAGCGGUACUUAGUGGGUAGGGGUAAAAUCCGUUGAUCCACUGAAGACCACCAGUGGCGAAGGCGGCUUGCCAGAACGCGCUCGACGGUGAGGGAUGAAAGCUGGGGGAGCAAACCGGAUUAGAUACCCGGGUAGUCCCAGCUGUAAACGAUGCAGACUCGGUGAUGAAUAGGCUUCGUGCCUAUUCAGUGCCGCAGGGAAGCCGUUAAGUCUGCCGCCUGGGGAGUACGGUCGCAAGACUGAAACUUAA
rnacentral:rRNA from 1 species